GACGAACGCUGGCGGCGUGCCUAAUACAUGCAAGUGGGACGCAAGGGAACACACUGUGCUUGCACACCGUGUUUUCUUGAGUCGCGAACGGGUGAGUAACGCGUAGGUAACCUGCCUAUUAGCGGGGGAUAACUAUUGGAAACGAUAGCUAAUACCGCAUAAUAUUAAUUAUUGCAUGAUAAUUGAUUGAAAGAUGCAAGCGCAUCACUAGUAGAUGGACCUGCGUUGUAUUAGCUGGUUGGUAAGGUAAGAGCUUACCAAGGCGACGAUACAUAGCCGACCUGAGAGGGUGAUCGGCCACACUGGGACUGAGACACGGCCCAGACUCCUACGGGAGGCAGCAGUAGGGAAUCUUCGGCAAUGGACGAAAGUCUGACCGAGCAACGCCGCGUGAGUGAAGAAGGUUUUCGGAUCGUAAAGCUCUGUUGUAAGUCAAGAACGUGUGUGAGAGUGGAAAGUUCACACAGUGACGGUAGCUUACCAGAAAGGCGGCU
rnacentral:rRNA from 1 species